GACGAACGCUGGCGGCGUGCUUAACACAUGCAAGUCGAACGGAAAGGCCCUGCUUUUGUGGAGUGCUCGAGUGGCGAAAGGGUGAGUAACACGUGAGUAACCUGCCCUUGACUUUGGGAUAACUUCAGGAAACUGGGGCUAAUACCGGAUAGGAGCUCCUGCUGCAUGGUGGGGGUUGGAAAGUUUCGGCGGUUGGGGAUGGACUCGCGGCUUAUCAGCUUGUUGGUGGGGUAGUGGCUUACCAAGGCUUUGACGGGUAGCCGGCCUGAGAGGGUGACCGGCCACAUUGGGACUGAGAUACGGCCCAGACUCCUCCGGGAGGCAGCAGUGGGGAAUAUUGCACAAUGGGCGGAAGCCUGAUGCAGCAACGCCGCGUGCGGGAUGACGGCCUUCGGGUUGUAACCCGCUUUCGCCUGUGACGAAGCGUGAGUGACGGUAAUGGGUAAAGAAGCACCGGCUAACUACGUG
rnacentral:rRNA from 1 species